rnacentral:rRNA from 1 species
CCUACGGGAGGCAGCAGUAAGGAAUAUUGGUCAAUGGACGAAAGUCUGAACCAGCCAUGCCGCGUGAAGGAUUAAGGCCCUCUGGGUUGUAAACUUCUUUUAUCUGGGACGAAAAAAGGGUAUUCUUACUCACUUGACGGUACCAGAGGAAUAAGCACCGGCUAACUCCGUGCCAGCAGCCGCGGUAAUACGGAGGGUGCAAGCGUUAUCCGGAUUUACUGGGUUUAAAGGGUGCGUAGGUGGGCUUGUAAGUCAGUGGUGAAAUCUCCGGGCUUAACCCGGAAACUGCCAUUGAUACUAUAGGUCUUGAAUUAUCUGGAGGUAAGCGGAAUAUGUCAUGUAGCGGUGAAAUGCUUAGAUAUGACAUAGAACACCAAUUGCGAAGGCAGCUUACUACGGAUAUAUUGACACUGAGGCACGAAAGCGUGGGGAUCAAACAGGAUUAGAUACCCUGGUAGUCCACGCCCUAAACGAUGGAUACUCGACAUCAGCGAUACACUGUUGGUGUCUGAGCGAAAGCAUUAAGUAUCCCACCUGGGAAGUACGAUCGCAGAUUGAAACUCAAGGAAUUGACGGCUGAGACGNGACGAGACGACGACGAGGAGGAGG